rnacentral:rRNA from 1 species
CCCUUAGAUGUUCUGGGCCGCACGCGCGCUACACUGUUCGACGCAGCGAGUCUUAACCUUGACCGAAAGGUUUGGGUAAUCUUCAGCAAAGUCGAACGUGAUGGGGAUCGAUCAUUGCAAUUAUUGAUCGUGAACGAGGAAUUACUAGUAAGUGCAAGUCAUCAGCUUGCGCUGAUUACGUCCCUGCCCUUUGUACACACCGCCCGUCGCUACUACCGAUUGAAUGGUUUAGUGAGAUCUCUGGAUUGACGCUGGCUAGGGGGCGACCCUUGGCCAGACUGUUGAGAAACUGCUCAAACUUGAUCAUUUAGAGGAAGUAAAAGUCGUAACA